rnacentral:rRNA from 1 species
GACGAACGCUGGCGGCGUGCCUAAUACAUGCAAGUCGAACGCAUUUUCUUUCACCGUAGCUUGCUACACCGAAAGAAACUGAGUGGCGAACGGGUGAGUAACACGUGGGUAACCUGCCCAUCAGCGGGGGAUAACACUUGGAAACAGGUGCUAAUACCGCAUAAUUCCAUUUACUGCAUGGUAGAUGGAUGAAAGGCGCUUUUGCGUCACUGAUGGAUGGACCCGCGGUGCAUUAGCUAGUUGGUGGGGUAACGGCCUACCAAGGCUGCGAUGCAUAGCCGACCUGAGAGGGUGAUCGGCCACACUGGGACUGAGACACGGCCCAGACUCCUACGGGAGGCAGCAGUAGGGAAUCUUCGGCAAUGGACGCAAGUCUGACCGAGCAACGCCGCGUGAGUGAAGAAGGUUUUCGGAUCGUAAAACUCGGUUGUUAGAAAAGAACAAGGAUGAGAGUGGAAAGUUCAUCCCUUGACGGUAUCUAACCAGAAAGCCACGGCUAACUACGUG